rnacentral:rRNA from 1 species
GGAAUUUUCGGCAAUGGGCAAAAGCCUGACCGAGCAAUGCCGCGUGAUCGAAGAAGUAUUUCGGUAUGUAAAGAUCUUUUAUUUGGGAAGAAAAAACAAAUUGACUGAACCAAAUGAAUAAGCUCCGGCUAACUACGUGCCAGCAGCCGCGGUAAUACGUAGGGAGCGAGCGUUAUCCGGAAUUAUUGGGCGUAAAGGGUGCGUAGACGGCAAUAAAAGUUUCUUGUUAAAAAGCAGGGCUCAACCCUGUUGAGCAAGAGAUACUGUAUAGCUAGAGUAUAGGAGAGGUAAGUGGAACUCCAUGUGUAGCGGUAAAAUGCGUAAAUAUAUGGAAGAACACCAGUGGCGAAGGCGGCUUACUAGCCUGAUACUGACGUUGAGGCACGAAAGCGUGGGGAGCAAACA